GAGUUUGAUCGUGGCUCAGAACGAACGCUGGCGGCAGGCUUAACACAUGCAAGUCGAACGCCCCUUUCGGGGGUAGGUGGCAGACGGGUGAGUAACGCGUGGGAACGUGCCCUUCAGUUCGGAAUAACCCAGGGAAACUUGGGCGUAAUACCGGAUACGUGCGAGAGCAGAAAGAUUUAUCGCUGAAGGAUCGGCCCGCGUCUGAUUAGCUAGUUGGUGAGGUAAUGGCUCACCAAGGCGACGAUCAGUAGCUGGUCUGAGAGGAUGAUCAGCCACAUUGGGACUGAGACACGGCCCAAACUCCUACGGGAGGCAGCAGUGGGGAAUAUUGGACAAUGGGCGCAAGCCUGAUCCAGCCAUGCCGCGUGAGUGAUGACGGCCUUAGGGUUGUAAAGCUCUUUCGUCCGGGACGAUAAUGACGGUACCGGAAGAAGAAGCCCCGGCUAACUUCGUGACAGCCGCCGCAGUAAG
rnacentral:rRNA from 2 species